rnacentral:sRNA from 1 species
UUUAGCAACUGCUAUGGCACAAGCACCAGCUAACCAAAGUAUGUGCUGGAUCAUAGGAAGAUGAUGGGUCGUAGAGUGGAGGGGCAUGCAGGACAAUGGGAACUGCGAGUAGGACUUUGGCUGGUAUAGUAGCCCCAUGGUACAUCUGGGAUGAAAUCUACCUAGAGUUAUAGGUUUGGUCCUUGUUUUUCAAGGUGGCUGGGAUGAGCCCUUGGGCGCCUCAGGUGCCUGUAUCACCCACUCCUCCCUACCAAAGGGGGCAUUUUCCUACAGGAGGACACCUUGCUGUAUGUCCUUUCCCAUGUCUCUUGCAAGAAGCUCAGUUCCAUUUGCAGACUCAGGUCUUUCUUCAAGUCAGCCUUCAGACGCUGACUGGGACGACCUGUGGGACCAGUUUGAUGAGCGGCGGUAUCUGAAUGCCAAAAAGUGGCGCGUUGGUGACGACCCCUAUAAGCUGUAUGCUUUCAACCAGCGAGAGAGUGAGCGGAUCUCCAGCAAUCGGGCCGUCCCGGACACUCGCCAUCUGAGAUGCACGCUGCUGGUGUAUUGCACGG